CGUUCUAAGAUACAGUCACAUAAGGCUUUCAUAGUUGCUUCUUAUGUUCUACUGAUGACCCUGGGGAAGUCAGAAUCUCUGAUACACAGGAAGCAUGUUCUCUGGCUCCUGUGUCCCUGGUGAUACAAAGCAUGCCAGCCACUGCCACAAAGGCUGAAGAUGGAUUCUGCCCAAUGAGCAGAAUGUAGCUCUACAAUGAAGGCACAAGAACUGGGAACAACUUUGAGUCUCUGACUCCUCAGGCUGGCAAAGGCAGGGAAUACUGCUGAGGUUUUACUCUCAAGCUCCAAGGGAAAGGGAUACUGAAUGUGGAAAAAUGCAGCACCCCCCUAUUGGACAAGCAGAACCAUACACCAC
rnacentral:lncRNA from 1 species